rnacentral:snoRNA from 1 species
CUGCAGCUAAUCAGGCCUCUUUUCUCUGUGGAGGCCUGGUGUGCAAUGGCUGCAAAAAGCAGCCACACACCAUUGUAAAGCAAUUAUACUCCAAUAAAGAUGUUAAAAAAAAAA